rnacentral:lncRNA from 1 species
GAGACUGGAGCGCCCGAACUGAGCCACCUUCGCGAACUCGGAGCGCGGCGGCCCGACUCAACCGCGGAGGCGCCCGGACGCGUAAAGGGCGGGUGUUGUGUGGGAAAUAGGCUACACCCCACACCUCAGGAUUCCAGAGCCUUGGAUGAAGAACCCAGGCCUUCGACUUCCCUGGCAUCCUGUACAGGGGAGCCCACUUUCUGCCUGGACUCUUCUUGAAGGAGCACACUCCCUCUUCCUGGCCCUUCUUCCUCAGUGGCCAGCAGCCUGUUCAGCAGAUGCAUUUCUGUGUUUGCCCAGCAGACCUCCCAGGCUGGCCCAGGCGGGAUCCCUUGGAGAGACUUCUGGGAGGGGCCCAAUAAAGCUUUGUGCAAUGAGAA